rnacentral:rRNA from 1 species
GCUGAACGCUGGCGGCGUGCCUAAUACAUGCAAGUCGAGCGAAGCGGGGACGGGUGAGUAACACGUGGAUAACCUCCUAUAAGACUGGGAUAACAUCGGGAAACCGGAGCUAAACCGGAUACUAAUAGAUGGAUCUGCGAUGCAUUAGCUAGGUGGUAAGGUAACGCCUUACCAAGGCAACGAUGCCUAGCCGACCUGAGAGGGUGAUCGGCCAAACUGGAACUGAUACGCAUACCCGACUCCGACGGGAGGCAGCAGUAGGGAAUCUUCCGCAAAGGUCGAAAGCCUGACUGAGCAACGCCGCGUGAGUGAUGGAGUUCUUGGGAUCGUAAAACUCUGUUAUUAGGGAAGCGGUGCCUAAUCAGAAGGCCACGGCUAACUACGUGCCAGGAGCCGCGGUAAUAC